rnacentral:rRNA from 1 species
UACGUAGGGUGCAAGCGUUAAUUCGGAAUUACUGGGCGUAAAGCGUGCGCAGGCGGUGAUGUAAGACAGAUGUGAAAUCCCCGGGCUCAACCUGGGAACUGCAUUUGUGACUGCAUCGCUGGAGUGCGGCAGAGGGGGAUGGAAUUCCGGCGUGUAGCAGUGAAAUGCGUAGAUAUGCGGAGGAACACCGAUGGCGAAGGCAAUCCCCUGGGCCUGCACUGA